rnacentral:snRNA from 1 species
GAGGCUUAUCCAUUGCACUCCGGAUGUGCUGACUCUUGCAAUUUCCCCAAAUGUGGGAAACUCAACAGCAUAAUUUGUUGUAGUGGGGAACUGUGUUCUCACUCUCCCCUA